ACAGAGACGCUUUCUUUCCAUUGGAAUGGCUAACAAUGGGCAACAGUUACACUCGGCCGUAAGAAAUAAAGACAAGGAGUCCAUAGAGAGGCUCCUGGACAGCGGGGCGGACGUAAACUGCAUGGUAUAUGGGUGGACGCCGCUACAGCUUUCUCUCCAAAGAGGUAGAAACAUGGCCAUUCCUUAAACUUACUUAAAGGGUAUGAGGAGGGGGCAGUAGUUCUGAUAGACAGAGGGUGCGAUGUUCAUCUCCAUGACAAGAACAGUGUUUCACCAUUUGAGGAAUGUCUACGCAAAAAUCUGAUAAAAGUACUCACUAAAAUUGUCAACAAAGGGGAGGAUGUAAAUGCUGUUCUAUCUAACGGGGAACCCCCUGUCUGUGAAGCCGUUAAAAACGCCAGCAAAGACGUCCUGUCUGUGCUGAUUAAAGUAGGUAAAUGUAACGUGAAUACCGUUGGGAGUAAAGGAGAGAGUCCUUUAUUUACCGCCGCCAAAUCUGGAUACAGCGACAUCUGUCGACUACUCCUCGACGCAGGCGCAGAUCCAGACUUCAUUCUACCAGCCAAUCAGCAUACGCCUCUCAUUACAGCUGCGAGUAACGACAAUGAUGAUGUCAUAAAAGUACUUUUGAAGCACGGAUGUAAUGUAAAUUAUUGUGACGUCAUGGGAAAGUCUGCGUUGUGGCACGCUUAUAGUAACAGCAACACGGACAGCAUGAAACUUCUACUUAGGGCGGGGUCAGACAAGAAUAUCCCGAACGCAGAGGGACAGACGCUAUUGGACGACGCAAAGGACGCAGAAGAUGAUGACGUCAUAGAACUCCUGACAAAGUUCACCCAGUCGUGGACUUAAAUAUUAAAAGUUCACAAAAGCGAGAAGACAAUCUCAGAUGUGUUCAGUAUUCUGUCAGGGGGCCUUUCUUCUGCGGUAACACUUCCGGCAGAUUACACAGGACUUCAAUCGUGACAGGAGAACUGAUACACAGCGGGAUUCCUGUCUCCGGCGGGACUGGGACCGGAUGAUACGAUUUCUAUCACUUUGGACGGUCUGCUCGCGGGCUGCUUAGCUGACAGUCCUGAUGAUUUAUUUAUCCAAUCCUAUAUUUAAGCCAAUUAAUCAAUAAUCAGCAAAAACAAGUCACAAAAAACCCGGACUUUGAACAGGAAUGAAUUUGAUUUGAGUCCCAUAUCGGCGUAUGUCGAAAUGUACCGGUCAUAUCACCGGCGUUAAACGGCGAAUUGGCAAAUGAAGUAAACCGGCGUAAAACAAAAAUGGAGAAACAUGCUAUUGUCUAAGCUAUUGGUGUAACCAUGGUAACAGAUAUAACAAUUCCAAAAGACAUCUUUUUUUAUCGGCUUUGCUAGAAUCCCUACUUAGAUAGAAAUAAAAUAUAAAGAACUGUUAGAUAUGUAGCAACGCAUUUUCAUAAGAAAAACGAACAAUACAGAUUGUUUCAGUGGUUUCUGUGCAAAAUUCCAAAAAUUUGUUUAACCAAUGCACUCAUUCAAUGAGUAUGAUGAUUUAUAUUAACAAAUAUCUACAUUUUUUAUCUCAUUACAUCACCAAACCAUGAGAUUUCGCCGUACUUUAAAAGCGGCGAAUUCCACGCCGGUCUUUCCAGACCUGCGAGAUCGGCGCACGCCGGCGAACCUUCUUCGGUUAAAUGAAGCAAAAGGCCGGGUAACCAAACGUACGCCAGCUUGACAAAUGAAGUCCAACCAAUGUUAAGUGAAUUGAGCAGAUCCACGUUUUAUGGUGUAAAAGAAGUGUACAAGUUCUUCAAACGAUCAUGCUGUCAAUCAAUGUAUUGAUAAUAAAAUAAUUUUAUAGGACGUAUGAAGGACCAAGAAUAUAGCUAGGACAAAUCAAUUACAGCAAUUUCUUUAAAUUCAUGCAUAGGCUUUAGAUUUGCGAGUGGACGGUGAUAAAUGUAGUUAAAAUCGU
rnacentral:misc_RNA from 1 species